UACGGAAGGCAGCAGUGGGGAAUAUUGCACAAUGGGCGCAAGCCUGAUGCAGCCAUGCCGCGUGUAUGAAGAAGGCCUUCGGGUUGUAAAGUACUUUCAGCGGGGAGGAAGGCGAUGCGGUUAAUAACCGCGUCGAUUGACGUUACCCGCAGAAGAAGCACCGGCUAACUCCGUGCCAGCAGCCGCGGUAAUACGGAGGGUGCAAGCGUUAAUCGGAAUUACUGGGCGUAAAGCGCACGCAGGCGGUCUGUUAAGUCAGAUGUGAAAUCCCCGGGCUUAACCUGGGAACUGCAUUUUGAACUGGCAGGCUUGAGUCUUGUAGAGGGGGUAGAAUUCCAGGUGUAGCGGUGAAAUGCGUAGAGAUCUGGAGGAAUACCGGUGGCGAAGGCGGCCCCUGGACAAAGCUGACGCUCAGGUGCGAAAGCGUGGGGAGCAAACAGGAUUAGGAUACC
rnacentral:rRNA from 1 species